AUCGCAGCGCGUGCCUAUACAUGCAGUCGAGCGCAGGAAGCUCACGGAACUCUUCGGAGGGAAGUGAAGGGAAUGAGCGGCGGACGGGUGAGUAACACGUAAGGAACCUGCCCCAAGGAUUGGGAUAACUCCGAGAAAUCGGAGCUAAUACCGAAUAGUUCUUCAGACCGCAUGGUCUGAUGAUGAAAGGCGCUUCGGCGUCACCUUGGGAUGGCCUUGCGGUGCAUUAGCUAGUUGGUGGGGUAAUGGCCCACCAAGGCGACGAUGCAUAGCCGACCUGAGAGGGUGAUCGGCCACACUGGGACUGAGACACGGCCCAGACUCCUACGGGAGGCAGCAGUAGGGAAUCUUCCACAAUGGACGAAAGUCUGAUGGAGCAACGCCGCGUGAGUGAUGAAGGUUUUCGGAUCGUAAAACUCUGUUGUAAGGGAAGAACAGGUAUGAGAGGUAAUGCUCAUGCUAUGACGGUACCUUGCGAGAAAGCCACGGCUAACUACGUGCCAGCAGCCGCGGUAAUACGUAGGUGGCAAGCGUUGUCCGGAAUUAUUGGGCGUAAAGCGCGCGCAGGCGGCCUUUUAAGUCUGAUGUGAAAGCCCCCGGCUCAACCGGGGAGGGUCAUUGGAAACUGGAAGGCUUGAGUACAGAAGAGAAGAGUGGAAUUCCAUGUGUAGCGGUGAAAUGCGUAGAGAUGUGGAGGAACACCAGUGGCGAAGGCGACUCUUUGGUCUGUAACUGACGCUGAGGCGCGAAAGCGUGGGGAGCAAACAGGAUUAGAUACCCUGGUAGUCCACGCCGUAAACGAUGAGUGCUAUGUGUUGGGGGGUUUCCGCCCCUCAGUGCUGAUGCUACGCAUUAAGCACUCCGCCUGGGGAGUACGGCCGCAAGGCUGAUACUCAAGAAAUUUGGACCGU
rnacentral:rRNA from 1 species